UACAGAGGGUGCGAGCGUUAAUCGGAAUUACUGGGCGUAAAGCGUGCGUAGACGGCUAUCUAAGUCGGGUGUGAAAGCCCCGGGCUCAACCUGGGAAUUGCAUUCGAGACUGAAUAGCUAGGGUACGGUAGAGGGAAGCGGAAUUUCCGGUGGAGCGGUGAAAUGCGUAGAGAUCGGAAAGAACACCAACGGCGAAAGCACUCUGCUGGGCCGACACUGACACUGAGAGACGAAAGCUAGGGGAGCGAAUGGG
rnacentral:rRNA from 1 species